AACGUGAGUUCGCCGCCGGCCUCGAGACUCAAGAAUGAGGUUUCACUUUCGAGGGGGGAACGGUGCAGACUGUGAGGGCCUGAGGGGAGAGCGCGACUGUGAGAGGAGAUCGCCAGGUUUCACUUCCGAUUGGGGUAAGGGGGAACGGUCCCGCUGAAUGGGGUUAGGUCACGCUGGGAGACUGGGAGUGGGAGGCGUGGGGUUAGCUCACGCAGCUGAAUGGGGAAUUGGG
rnacentral:lncRNA from 1 species